AAUAAAAUGUAAAUAGCAGUAUUAUUAAGACAAUUUCCCCCCAAAAAAGCCACAACUUCUGAGUGUUCUUUGAAAUUCAGUAAAAAUGCUUUUUCAUCUGUUGUUUGGGUGCGCUGAUUUCAGAAACCCAUCACAUCAUUAGCUUAUCCUCAUCAAAAGGCUUUUAUCACAGAAGUGUUGCCUCCAGAGGAGCAGCAGUCCAAGAACACCAUCCCCACGCUCCACGGAGAGGCUGGAAGAGGAACUGCCCCAAGCUGAGCUGCCAAAGGAUGGGAUUUCUACUCCAUUAGAGAAGACGGUUCUUUCUCAAACUGCACAGCUGCUGAGUUUAGACAGAUCACCUGAGAGACCUGGGGAGUUCCUCACUGGAUUGUUCAAGACCACUGGCCUCAAGAAACAAAGCAAACCACCCCUUAAACCAACUUUAAUGUUAAGCUGCCAAGGCAGGCAGUACUCCCGCCCAAGUUCAAGAUGUGAUUACUGACAGCUCAAGAACAGGGGAUUUCUUCCAGCCACAGACCUUUAUGUACAGCUGAGCACACAGAUGAGCACCCAGAACAACUACUGUGGUUGCCACUUUUCUCCAGAAUAGCUAAGUCUGCGAGCCAAAAAAUGUAAGUCACACUGCACAGGUAGUACUUAAAUUUGGAGAUCUUCAAAUACUGUAUAAAUUGUAGGCUUAAGGUACACAGACCUGCUGUACAGUAUGGUGAAAAGCAGUCUUUCCUUUCUGGAAUACCCAUUUUUAAAGAAAGGUAGAACUCAAAUGCUUUAAAAAAUUUGAAAACAGAGAAGGCAAACUUUUCUUCUUCAAAAGCAUAAAAGAGAAGUCAAUCUUAUGUCAAAAGACAGACCCUAGAGGCAUCAACUGCAUUUUAUUUUGAUGACAAAGAGAAGCCUGAAGAAUGGUAACAGACAUUUUGAAGGUUAUGCCUUUGCAAAAGAAACAAGAGAAGACACAGGAUACAACCUGAGAAAAAAACUUUUCAAAAAUUGUACUUGUUGUGUGUGUAAAGUACAUGCACC